GUCUGGUGACGCGGAGGGAUCAUUAUCGAGUUACCGCUCCUUAUAA
rnacentral:rRNA from 1 species